GCUCUGGACUAUCGUCUUGAUGUUUUCGUGUUCGAAAAUUGUCCCAAGCCAUAUCCUGCCUUACAUCUGCUGGAGCUUUGGGCUAACACACUGGUUUCCAGACUUUUUUUAUUUCUUGAACUGAGUCCUCUUUCCAGAUUUUGAAGUAGGAUGGCGGCGGCAAGGUUCAAAUCCAGGGGCCAUAGAGACAAUCUGGAGUCCAGAUCAACGCAUACCCCAAGGACAGGCAGUGAAAAGAAGUUAAAAGCUACAUGUGAAUAUAGAUCUAUAUGAUAUUCAAAUUAAAUCGAAGCUUUGCUCGACAAUGUUUCGCAGGACGUAAAUCUAUUCAGUGCUUGAUUUGCCUUUUCGGAAGCAGCUGAGAAAUACUAGUAUAAUUUAAAACCCUCUCCGUAAGGAGAUCUUAAAUAAUCUUUAAUAAAAAAAAUCAACUCAAUUUUUCUAAAUGCAAUAAUUGUACAUUUUUAAAUUUAUAUUAUAACUUUUGAUAAAAUGUCAAAAAACAACAACAUUGUAAAAUAGAAUUAAAAACGAUUUUCGGAUGUAACCAAUCAAUGAAUCAGCUUACAUUUUUAUUGUUCAACAUAAAGAAACGAAAUAAACAAUAGUUGUUAGUUUUUUAGGGGGAGAUUUUUUUCCUUGGGGGGGGGGGUUUACACCCAGAACUUACCG